rnacentral:rRNA from 1 species
GAUGAACGCUAGCGGCAGGCCUAACACAUGCAAGUCGAGGGGUAACAGGAAAGCUUGCUUUUGCUGACGACCGGCGCACGGGUGCGUAACGCGUAUGCAACCUACCUCAUACAGGAGAAUAGCCCUUGGAAACGAGGAUUAAUACUCCAUGGUAUCAUUCUUUCGCAUGUUAGAAUGAUUAAAGAAUUUCGGUAUGAGAUGGGCAUGCGUCCCAUUAGCUUGUUGGUGAGGUAACGGCUCACCAAGGCAACGAUGGGUAGGGGGCCUGAGAGGGUGGUCCCCCACACUGGUACUGAGACACGGACCAGACUCCUACGGGAGGCAGCAGUGAGGAAUAUUGGUCAAUGGAGGAAACUCUGAACCAGCCAUGCCGCGUGAAGGAUGACGGCCCUAUGGGUUGUAAACUUCUUUUAUAUGGGAAGAAACUUAUCUACGUGUAGAUAACUGACGGUACCAUACGAAUAAGGAUCGGCUAACUCCGUGCCAGCAGCCGCGGUAAUACGGAGGAUCCAAGCGUUAUCCGGAUUCAUUGGGUUUAAAGGGUCCGUAGGCGGAUUUUUAAGUCAGUGGUGAAAGCCGACAGCUCAACUGUCGAACUGCCAUUGAUACUGGAAAUCUUGAGUACAAAUGAAGUAGGCGGAAUGAGUCAUGUAGCGGUGAAAUGCAUAGAUAUGACUCAGAACACCGAUUGCGAAGGCAGCUUACUAACAUGUAACUGACGCUGAGGGACGAAAGCGUGGGGAGCGAACAGGAUUAGAUACCCUGGUAGUCCACGCCGUAAACGAUCAUCACUCGCUGUUGGCGAUAUACUGUCAGCGGCCAAGCGAAAGUAUUAAGUGAUGCACCUGGGGAGUACGCCGGCAACGGUGA